CAUGCAGAGUCUUUAAGAAAUUUUGCAUAGAAAUAUUAUGGUUCCCCCAUGCACAUCAAUGAUUUCAUGAUAGAUCUUCUCAUGGGGCCCAGUGAUGCUUUCACCAUAAAAUUAAGAAUGCUAAUUCUGGACACUAGCAAUUAUAUUAGUGACCUUGUCGUUUGAAUUGACAUGGCAUGUUUCUAGUGCCAUUUUUUGGUCAGUUUUUAAUAUGAUGUAUAAUUUCUUCCUUUCCAAAUACAAUUAUUUAAUCAAUAUGAUUGUCACGGGGCUAAUAAUUACUUUGAUGAGAGUCCAAAUUAAGAGUGAAUCAACAACUGGCUUUCUUCAGUGUGUGUACUAAAGGAACACGUUCAGGUAUAGAAGUGCUGAAUUUCUUAUGAAAUUACUGCAGAUUGUGAGUGGAAGGCGCAGG
rnacentral:misc_RNA from 1 species